ACACCUCAACUCUCGUGGUUUGCCAUGAUGAGCUUGGACUCUGGAGGUUUUGCUGGUCUUUUCGAUCGGCUCCUCUCAAACGAAUCAGCUUGCCAGUAUCUGGUGGCAUCAUGGGUGUGAUAACUAUCUACGCUCAGAGCCGUCCAUCAGGCCAACCUUCAGCAAUGGAGGUUUGCUGGAGCUCACAAAUGUCUCUCCUUGGUGGGGACAGCUUUUUGAAC
rnacentral:misc_RNA from 1 species